GACGAACGCUGGCGGCGUGCUUAACACAUGCAAGUCGAACGGAAAGGCCCUGCUUUUGUGGGGUGCUCGAGUGGCGAACGGGUGAGUAACACGUGAGUAACCUGCCCUUGACUUUGGGAUAACUUCAGGAAACUGGGGCUAAUACCGGAUAGGAGCUCCUGCUGCAUGGUGGGGGUUGGAAAGUUUCGGCGGUUGGGGAUGGACUCGCGGCUUAUCAGCUUGUUGGUGGGGUAGUGGCUUACCAAGGCUUUGACGGGUAGCCGGCCUGAGAGGGUGACCGGCGACAUUGGGACUGAGAGACGGCCCAGACUGCUACGGGAGGCAGCAGUGGGGAAUAUUGCACAAUGGGCGGAAGCCUGAUGCAGCAACGCCGCGUGCGGGAUGACGGCCUUCGGGUUGUAAACCGCUUUCGCCUGUGACGAAGCGUGAGUGACGGUAAUGGGUAAAGAAGCACCGGCUAACUACGUG
rnacentral:rRNA from 1 species